CCUACGGGGGGCAGCAGUGAGGAAUAUUGGUCAAUGGACGAGAGUCUGAACCAGCCAAGUAGCGUGAAGGAUGACUGCCCUAUGGGUUGUAAACUUCUUUUAUAUGGGAAUAAAAUGUUCCACGUGUGGGAUUUUGUAUGUACCAUAUGAAUAAGGAUCGGCUAACUCCGGGCCAGCAGCCGCGGUAAUACGGAGGAUCCGAGCGUUAUCCGGAUUUAUUGGGUUUAAAGGGAGCGUAGGUGGAUUGUUAAGUCAGUUGUGAAAGUUUGCGGCUCAACCGUAAAAUUGCAGUUGAAACUGGCAGUCUUGAGUACAGUAGAGGUGGGCGGAAUUCGUGGUGUAGCGGUGAAAUGCUUAGAUAUCACGAAGAACUCCGAUUGCGAAGGCAGUUCACUGGACUGCAACUGACACUGAGGCUCGAAAGUGUGGGUAUCAAACAGGAUUAGAUACCCUAGUAGUC
rnacentral:rRNA from 1 species